rnacentral:scRNA from 1 species
GGGGUUGGGGAUUUAGCUCAGUGGUAGAGCGCUUGCCUAGCAAGCGCAAGGCCCUGGGUUCGGUCCCCAGCUCCGAAAAAAAAAAAAAAAAAAAAAAAAGU